UGGGGAAUAUUGGACAAUGGGGGCAACCCUGAUCCAGCGAUGCCGCGUGUGUGAAGAAGGCCUGCGGGUUGUAAAGCACUUUAGUAGGGGAGGAAAGGUUGGGUGCUAAUACCAUUCAGCGAUGACGUUACCCUAAGAAUAAGCACCGGCAAACUCUGUGCCAGCAGCCGCGGUAAUACAGAGGGUGCAAGCGUUAAUCGGAAUCACUGGGCGUAAAGGGUGCGUAGGUGGUUGUAUAAGUUUCAUGUGAAAUCCCUGGGCUCAACCUGGGAACUGCAUGGGAGACUGUAUAACUAGAGUAGAGUAGAGGUGAGUGGAAUUUCCGGUGUAGCGGUGAAAUGCGUAGAGAUCGGAAGGAACACCAGUGGCGAAGGCGGCUCACUGGACUCAUACUGACACUGAGGCACGAAAGCGUGGGGAGCAAACAGGAUUAGAUACCCCCGUAGUCCCUGAGCGGGCUGGCAAGGCGCAU
rnacentral:rRNA from 1 species